ACGAGUGGCGGACGGGUGAGUAAUGUCUGGGAAACUGCCCGAUGGAGGGGGAUAACUACUGGAAACGGUAGCUAAUACCGCAUAACGUCGCAAGACCAAAGAGGGGGACCUUCGGGCCUCUUGCCAUCGGAUGUGCCCAGAUGGGAUUAGCUAGUAGGUGGGGUAACGGCUCACCUAGGCGACGAUCCCUAGCUGGUCUGAGAGGAUGACCAGCCACACUAGAACUGAGACACGGUCCAG
rnacentral:rRNA from 1 species